GCAACCGUAGCUCAGCUGGUAGAGCAGUGGCAUAAGCCUAAUCGAUCGUGGGUUCGAACCCCACCGGUUGCA
rnacentral:tRNA from 2 species